UGGGAUGUGGCUCAGUGAUAGAGUACUUGCCUAGCAUGUGUGAGGCACUGGGUUGGAUUCUCAGCACCACAU
rnacentral:tRNA from 1 species